AACGCACAUUGCGCCCCUCGGUAUUCCGUGGGGCAUGCCUGUUCGAGCGUCAUUUACACCCUCAAGCUCUGCUUGGUGUUGGGCGUCUGUCCCCGCCGAAAGGCGCAGACUCGCCCCAAAGGCAUUGGCAGCGGUCCCUGCCGGACUUCCCCAACAGCGCAGCACUGUUCGCGCAUCCGGGGAUCCGCGCGGGUCCAGCGUCCACGAAGCCCGAUUGCAUCGCAACUUGACCUCGGAUCAGGUAGGGAUACCCGCUGAACUUAA
rnacentral:misc_RNA from 1 species